GAUGAACGCUGGCGGCGUGCCUAAUACAUGCAAGUCGAGCGAACGGACGAGAAGCUUGCUUCUCUGAUGUUAGCGGCGGACGGGUGAGUAACACGUGGAUAACCUACCUAUAAGACUGGGAUAACUUCGGGAAACCGUAUCUAAUACCGGAUAAUAUUUUGAACCGCAUGGUUCAAAAGUUAAAGACGGUCUUGCUGUCACUUAUAGAUGGAUCCGCGCUGCAUUAGCUAGUUGGUAAGGUAACGGCUUACCAAGGCAACGAUGCAUAGCCGACCUGAGAGGAUGAUCGGCCACACUGGAACUGAGACACGGUCCAGACUCCUACGGGAGGCAGCAGUAGGGAAUAUUCCGCAAUGGGCGAAAGCCUGACGGAGCAAUGCCGCGUGAGUGAUGAAGGUCUUCGGAUCGUAAAACUCUGUUAUUAGGGAAGAAAAUAUGUGUAAGUAACUGUGCACAUCUUGACGGUACCUAAUCAGAAAGCCACGGCUAACUACGUG
rnacentral:rRNA from 1 species